rnacentral:lncRNA from 1 species
CAUGCAACGACUCAAACUUAUUUCUUUUUAACAGUUGUUGGAGAAGACAUAUUUCACUUCUUAAUAUGUUUUUGUUGAAAUCAAUAUGUUUUCUGCGAAUUGUUGAUAUUUUAGUCCAGACUCAAACAACUUCGUUCACCAUCGCUUUGUCCCAACAGGUAAAAUUUCAUUGUGUUAUAUAUUUCCCAGCUAAAUAUGAGGCC